rnacentral:rRNA from 1 species
UACGUAGGGUGCGAGCGUUGUCCGGAAUUAUUGGGCGUAAAGGGCUCGUAGGCGGUUUGUCGCGUCGGGAGUGAAAACCUCGGGCUUAACUCGGGGCUUGCUUUCGAUACGGGCAGACUAGAGGUAUGCAGGGGAGAACGGAAUUCCUGGUGUAGCGGUGGAAUGCGCAGAUAUCAGGAGGAACACCGAUGGCGAAGGCAGAUCUCUGGGCCGUAACUGACGCUGAGGAGCGAAAGCGUGGGGAGCGAACAGG